rnacentral:rRNA from 1 species
CUACGGGGGGCAGCAGUGGGGAAUAUUGCACAAUGGACGAAAGUCUGAUGCAGCAACGCCGCGUGGAGGAUGACACAUUUCGGUGCGUAAACUCCUUUUAUAUAAGAAGAUAAUGACGGUAUUAUAUGAAUAAGCACCGGCUAACUCCGUGCCAGCAGCUGCGGUAAUACGGGGGGUGCAAGCGUUACUCGGAAUCACUGGGCGUAAAGCGCAUGUAGGCGGACUUGUAAGUUGGAAGUGAAAUCCUAUGGCUCAACCAUAGAACUGCUCCCAAAACUGCUUGUCUAGAAUAUGGGAGAGGUAGAUGGAAUUUCUGGUGUAGGGGUAAAAUCCGUAGAGAUCAGAAGGAAUACCGAUUGCGAAGGCGAUCUACUGGAACAUUAUUGACGCUCAGAUGCGAAAGCGUGGGGAGCAAACAGGAUUAGAUACCCUGGUAGUC